ACCCCGGGAAACUGGGGCUAAUACCCGGUAGAUUACGAAGCCUGGAAUGGUUUCUAGUCGAAAAGGCGUUGAAACCAUGCUUUUCGACGUCGCCUAAGGAUGGGGCCGCACCUGAUCAGGUUGUUGGUGGGGUAACGGCUCACCAAGCCUAUAACCGGUACGGGCCGUGAGAGCGGGAGCCCGGAGAUGGGCACUGAGACAAGGGCCCAGGCCCUACUGGGCGCAUCAGUCGCGAAAACUCCGCAAUGCGCGAAAGCGUGACGGGGCUACCCCGAGUGCCGUCCGCUGAGGAUGGCUUUUCCCCUGUGUAAUGAGCCGAGGGAAUAAGGAG
rnacentral:rRNA from 1 species